CUCGGCGCUGCGGAGGGGGCGUGGUCAGCGUGGCGAAUGGGGGGGCGGGCGCGGGGGCGCGCGCGGGAAGGCUGCUGUGGGCGGAGCGCCGUGGAGAGGCGACCAUUUUACCGAGCGCGGCGGGCACGUUUUGCUGCUCCGGGCGUCCCGCCCCCUCGCCACGUCCCUCUCGCUCCUUUCCGUCCAGCCGGGCGUCGGGCGCGGGAGGCCAAGGCCGAGCCGGGCUCCGCGGUAGUGCAGGAGCCGCACUGGGGUCGCCCUGGGCGCCCUUCCCGGGUUAUCUCGGGCCGGCCCCCCGGGAGCCCUGCCUCCCGCUCCCAGCGCUCCGGCCAGUCGGAGAGCAGGCAGGCGAGCGCCCCUGGGGGGCCGCCGGAAGCCGCUUUUCCCUACUCAGAGCCCUUUGCCUGGCACACAAAACUCAAGUUGCCGACUGGAUCAAGGACAAACAGUUCGCCAACUGUCACAACACCAUAUUGGAACUUCAGCAAGUUCCGAAAACAUGUUGUGAACUUGUGA
rnacentral:lncRNA from 1 species